ACGGGGCUAAACCAUGCACCGAAGCUGCGGCAGCGACGCUUAUGCGUUGUUGGGUAGGGGAGCGUUCUGUAAGCCUGUGAAGGUGUGCUGUGAGGCAUGCUGGAGGUAUCAGAAGUGCGAAUGCUGACAUAAGUAACGAUAAAGCGGGUGAAAAGCCCGCUCGCCGGAAGACCAAGGGUUCCUGUCCAACGUUAAUCGGGGCAGGGUGAGUCGACCCCUAAGGCGAGGCCGAAAGGCGUAGUCGAUGGGAAACAGGUUAAUAUUCCUGUACUUGGUGUUACUGCGAAGGGGGGACGGAGAAGGCUAUGUUGGCCGGGCGACGGUUGUCCCGGUUUAAGCGUGUAGGCUGGUUUUCCAGGCAAAUCCGGAAAAUCAAGGCUGAGGCGUGAUGACGAGGCACUACGGUGCUGAAGCAACAAAUGCCCUGCUUCCAGGAAAAGCCUCUAAGCAUCAGGUAACAUCAAAUCGUACCCCAAACCGACACAGGUGGUCAGGUAGAGAAUACCAAGGCGCUUGAGAGAACUCGGGUGAAGGAACUAGGCAAAAUGGUGCCGUAACUUCGGGAGAAGGCACGCUGAUAUGUAGGUGAAGUCCCUCGCGGAUGGAGCUGAAAUCAGUCGAAGAUACCAGCUGGCUGCAACUGUUUAUUAAAAACACAGCACUGUGCAAACACGAAAGUGGACGUAUACGGUGUGACGCCUGCCCGGUGCCGGAAGGUUAAUUGAUGGGGU
rnacentral:rRNA from 1 species